rnacentral:lncRNA from 1 species
UUUUUUUUUUUGUUUUUUUGUUUUUCUUUUUUUUCAUUGUAAAUGCUAGCUCUUCUGGUAAAGACCUGUAGUGUUUGUCUGCGGACAUUCAUAGUUCUCUGCAUGGUGGAAGAAAAGCACGCUCAUCCUGUAACCUUUGGUGUUCACCUUUCUUGACAAUGUUCAGCACCAGAACUAAACAUUAGAGGGCUCAGUUUUGUGUUCAUUCUUCUUUACCCAGGAGGCAGCUGAUAGCUGGGUUGUAUACUCUCAAAAUGCUUUAUCACCUGUCUAAUUAUUUACCCUUUCUUGGGUGCCAUCAGCUUAAAAAUGGUUUCUGGAGUUCCCGUUGUGGCGCAGCGGAAAUGAAUCCAACUAGGAACCAUGAGGUUGCAGGUUUGAUCCCUGGUCUUGCUCAAUGGGUUAAGGAUCUGGGGUUGCCGUGAGCUGUGAUAUAGGUCGCAGAUACAGCUUGGAUCUGGCAUUACUGUGGCUGUGGCAUAGGCCAGCAGCUAUAGCUCCGAUUCGACCCCUAGCCUGGGACCCUCCAUAUGCCGCGGGUGUGGCCCUAGAAAGACCAAAAAAAAAAAAAAAAAAAAAAAAAAAAGGAGUUUGGGUCAGGAACUGAAAAGAUAAACCCCAGCUUAAAUUUGAUUCCAGAUGGUUCCAUUAGAAAACCUGCAGUGGUAGGAUGAUAUCUGCAUAGCUGUAAACAGUGACUCUCUAAACCUCAGGGAAAUGACACUUCUUCUUUGCAGACACCAGGAACAGGUGGUGAGUGAUGUAUUUGGUGGCAAUGUGCUUCCCCCAGAAGGAUAAUUUCAUUUUGAAGGCUCUGGAAUUCAGGUUUUGUGUCCCUAGGUGAAGAGAAAACAUCCUUUUAGGUAAAUUGCUGAAUCAAAUUCUUAAAUGUGCUCUCUUAAGGAGUUUGCAGGUGUCAUUGUAAGUGUAAUUUAUGUCUCCCUGAUGAUGCAGCAGGAAAAAAAAAAAAUGUCUCUGAGUAAUAAAGAGGCUAUAAGCUUUAAGGAAGAUGUGGUAUUCUGUUCAGGAAGAAGAAAAUAGAGAUAGCUUAGAUAACCGGCAGGCAGUUAUUUGUGUAGCCUUCUGAACAGUAAAGAGGAUACUUACUGACAGAAGGCAAAGCAAAUUAUGCAGUUGUUCUGGUCCCAGCUUUCUCUAGAGACUGUGGGGCCCAGAAAUUCAAGCAAGACUGGCUAAUUCAAGAUGGUCACGUCAGAAAGGAGGCAUUUUGCAUAGGCCCCUUAAAACAGUAAUGUACUGAUGAUUUAAAAAAAAAAAGAGUAAAGCAGCCUUCCUUCUGUCUUGGGACAGGACUCAAUGGCUAAGUCUAUGUCUCCUAGAUCUAAGUCUACCCAAGAACAAGUAUUUUGACCCCAAACUAUUCUUUCUUAAAAGAGAGCCAUCCCUCCCAAAAAAGAGAGCCUGAUGGAUGAGGUGGAGGAACUGAAAGAUUUUAAGAAUUCUGUCUGCCUUUGCCUCUAAGGUUAGUAUGGCCUCCCACAUUCUCAAGUCCUGAUACAGUUCAAGGAAAAGGAAAACCAAAUGAUUCAUGUCUGGGCUCAUGAUUCUCCGUGCACGUGACUCACACCACAAAGAGGAACGAAAUGCAAAGCUAAGAGACAAGAACACAGUUAACAUCUAGGAGUAGUGUGCCUUUUAUUCCCAGGUUACAAAGUGAGUUAUUGCAUAGAAAUGCAAAAGGUGGAAACUCAGUGUAGUCUGAAGAAAACUGUCCCAUUGGCUUCGAGAGCAAGAAACUCAAUUUACUCUGAAGAAAACUGUCCCAUUGGCUUCGAGAGGAAGAAUAUUACCUGAGAAAAUGAAGAGGCUAUUUUUAUGCAACAGAACAGUCCCCAUCUUUUCAGAAUCCAUUUUCCUAUGUCCGUCUUCCUCGUCUGCCUCAACAGCAGUGGGACUAAAUACUCAUUAAAUGGAAGAACUCUGUACACAGAAUCAAUCAAUUGCAGUUUUGUAGUUGAUGAUCUAGAACAGGUAUUGGCAAGCCAUGGCCCAUGGGUCAAAUCUGACCCAUUGCAGAUUUUAUAAGUAAAGUUUUCUUGGAACAUAGCACCAUGCUCAUCCAUUUAUGUAUUGUUUAUGGAUGCUCUCACUCUACAGUUGUAGACUUUAGUUGUUGCAGUGGAGACUGCACAGCACACAAAUCCAGAAAUAUUUACUAUCUGGCCCUUUGUAGAAAAAUUCUGCCAAUCCCUGAUUUGGGGUGUCACAGUCCACAUUCUACAGAGCAGAGGUUAUUUAUCCCAGGGGAUGAUACUCCACUUUCCUCCCACACAACGAAAAAGUUUGCAAACUAUGUGUUCCAUGUACAAUGUACAUUUUCCUAGGGAAAAGAUCCUAGCUUUCAGCAGAGUUUCAAAGCAAUCCAGAGUAUCCCCAGUUAAAGCCAAAUAAAACCAAAGAGUGUCUUUAAUAUGUUUAACAGUGCCACACACACACACACACACACACCCCCUAAACAAAAAAAAGAACGUGGCCCUUCUAGAGUAAAAUAUCUUUUUUUCCUAUUCUAUCAGGUUGGGAACUUCCUAGAUUUUACCACUCUGGCAUUUUUCCAUCUGAAUAUGUAAAUUGUCAUGGGUCCAAUUGAUAACUACUCCUCCUACUUGCUAAUUCAAUAAAAAUGGAAGAUUCCUUUAAGCUACGAAAUCUCCCUUCAAGUCAUAUAUAGACAUUAGGAAGGCAAAAUCCCCAGCACAAUAGAGGUUUAAUUCAUUUUAUUAGAUCUGACCACCAGCUCCAAUGAAUUUGUAUGCCCAUGGCAUGGUCUUUAUAAAAAACAUGAAAAAGUUUUAACAGUAAAACUUCAGCUCUGAGGGCAAAUUGACUUCUAGAAAUUGUCACAUACAAUUUGGUGCUAAGUCUGAUAAAUAAGGUAGGUAAAACAAAGGGGAAAGUACUUGGUAAGGAUUUUUUGUAAAAAAAAAAAAAAAAAA